AUUAGUAUCAACAACCUUUUGCGCAAGAAUCAAUUCGUAAAGAUCUUUAUGGAAAUGAAUUGAAGUUUCUCGAUAAAAUUUAUGGUGACAGAACCUACAAAUUUUACCGAGUUAACAAACAAAGAAUCAUGGCUCUAAUCAACAAAGCUGGCUGUAAAAUCAGAAAUGUUGUUUGGGAAGCGUGGAAAGAGUGGCUAGGUAGCUCUGAAUCUGAAUCUAGCAAGAGUUGUAUGGUUUGUAAAAAUACAAAUUAGCUAUUCAGAAUGUGGAGGCAUUGAGAUUGAAGAGAGCUGGGACAAGGUUAGUUGGUCCAAAACGUUUACUCUUUUCGCUUAUCUUAAAACUAUUUGUUAGUAUUUUUGGCAAAACUGGUUACUCUACUCAUUCUGGUAAUAUCUAGGAAGUCAAGUUAUUUUCUUUUCUCCUGUAAUAACAAGAUUUUCUUUUCUCCUCUUAUUUCUUUCCUCUAUCAUAAAUUCCAUUAUGAAAUAGGAACAUUUAAUAUAAUUCAUUUGAACUAUAUAAGAUAAUUUUUAGCUUAAUUCAGAAAACUGAAUAUAUGCAAUUGUUGUUAGUAGAUAGAAUAUUGAUUCUAGAAUACAAUCCUAUGCUACUCAAUAUGGAAGAGUCUACCUGUGUUCUAUAACUGAGAAACUACUGUUAAUGGACUGUGGUUAUGGAAUGACACCUUAAUCUGGUUCAAGAUUUGCAAAACAAAUCGGUAGGCAGGUAAAAGAAUGUUAGUUUAGUUUUUCCAACAAUCUUUCACUACCUUCUUAAUUCAAUUAUGAAGUAUAGCGUUGUAAUUUGUAUAUCAAUGUGUUGUUUCUGUUCCUAUCAGUUUAUCGUGCUGUUAUGCUGUUUUUGUUCUGUUCCUUUGAGUCGAGAUCAAACAUAAUCUCAUAUUAGUAAAUAUGUAAGAACGUACUUGAGGGGAGGCAGACUGUUUGGUGUUAGAGUAUUUAAGUAAUCUUCCUGAUAGUAGUUGUUUGUAUCAUCCUCUGCAGAGUCGAAACUAAGAAACAUUCUGUUUAAAUAAACAUAAAAAAGCAAAAAGAAUAAAUUGCUUAGGUUUAUUAAACACGUGAGGUAUGAAAGAAUAAUAUUACCUCCUCCUCAACUAAAUUAAACUAAAUUAAGUUGGCACACCAAGUAAUAUUGUGUUUAAAUUAACAAUGUAAAAAGAGAGAGAUGAUAUAACGAUCAAAAACCUGGAAAUAAAAUUGUUGAAAUUGUGAUAAAACGAAAAAAAAUUAAUGAAAGAUGCAACUGUUUAUGACGAUGAACAAUGAGAAAAGCUCAAGGGUUUAUAUAGAAGGACAGAAGGUACAAACCAAGACAAAUUUGGAUGUAUUUUUUGGUGAAACCAAGUAGGCGUGUAUGUUUUUGGUUGAAAAAAAUCAAGUAGGAAUCAAAUUGGAUUAAAAAAAAAAAGA